UGAGGACCCCAGGAGGGACGUGGGGCAGGAUAUUUGAGCUGAACAUUUUAUGCUGAAUUUAUGCGUUCAGUGUCCAUGUCGUUUAUAUGUUGUAACCCUUGCACUAGGUGUCUUUUUAGCGAUUUUAAAGGAUCGCUAAAGCCGAUAUUUCGAACAGGAAUAUACCGGCAGCUCCCGAGGUUUCUUCGGGAUCGCAUUUCGAGGCGUUUGAUAAGGUGUACAGUAUUUAUCCUUCCCCUUCCAUAUCCUCCUCCUGCACAAACCUGUGUCCUGCAUCUUAGGCAUCUAACUUGCAUGUGUGCAAUACGUACAAAAUAAUUAGGUUUCAACAUUUUUCUCCCACCUAUAAUUUCCAGCUAAACUGUGCCCUUCAUCAGUGCUUCUUGGCCCAAGAACUGUGUCGUCCGGCAAGUCGCGGAAGCCGAUUUCACAGAUUCGAAAAAUCCUUCUAAAAUAUUAUCCUUAAAUAUCGGAGUUGCGAUCCGAACUAUUAUAUUCCAAACCAGCGCUGUCCAAACCUUCUAAACCACGCUUCUAAACACAACCGGCCCGGAAGCAUGGAAGCAGGAAGAGAGCAAAGAGAGGAUAGCCAGUAGUAGCCAGUAGUGCCGAUGGAACAAUCCAAUCCAAUCCAAAAAUUCUGAUUAAAAUAAGAUGGCGACAACGGACGCCAAGGAAACGCAAGAGCGACGUAUUCACGAGCUUCAGGUGCUGGAACACGAGCUGAACACACUUAAACAGGGAGCACAUGUCUUCAAGAAGCAGCCAAACAGCAACAUUUUCUUCACUGCCAGGCUACCGGAUGUGAAAUCUGAUGUGAAAAAAGAACUGGAAUCUCUGCGAGACUCGCAGCUGAAAGCAGAGAAGGCUACCUGAUGUUGGGUUUUGCCUAUGACUAGGGAGGCCCAAUAUUCAAGGAAUAGCUUUGUAUUGUUUGGAAAAUAGAACUGCCAAACAAGGCAGCCUUGAAAUAAC